CGGCCACCUCCUGCAUAGAGGGUACCAUUCUGCGCUGCUGCAAGUUACGGAAUGAAAAAUUAGAACAACAGAAACAUGGGACACGCAUGAAAUUUGGUGCCGUGACUUGGAUCGGGGGACCUCCCUUGGGAGAUCAAUCCCCUGUCCUCCUGCUCUCUGCUCUGUGAGAAAGAUGCACCUACGACCUCAGGUCCUCAGACCGACCAGCCCAAGAAACAUCUCACUAAUUUCAAAUCUGAAGACAGGAAUGUCAGGCCUCUGAGCUCAAGCUAAGCCAUCAUAUCCCCUGUGACCUGCACGUACACAUCCAGAUGGCCGGUUCCUGCCUUAACUGAUGACAUUCCACCACGAAAGAAGUGAAAAUGACCUGUUCGUGCCUUAACUGAUGACAUUGUCUUGUGAAAUUCCUUCUCCUGGCUCAUCCUGGCUCAAAAGCUCCCCCACUGAGUACAUUGUGACCCCCACUCCUGCCCGCCAGAGAACAGCCCCCUUUGACUGUAAUUUUCCUUUAUCUACCCAAAUCCUAUAAAACAGCCCCACCUUUAUCUCCCUUGGCUGACUCUCUUUUCGGACUCAGCCCGCCUGCACCCAGGUGAAAUAAACAGCCUUGUUGCUAACACAA
rnacentral:lncRNA from 1 species